UACGAAGGGGGCUAGCGUUGUUCGGAAUUACUGGGCGUAAAGCGCACGCAGGCGGUCUUCCAAGUCAGUGGUGAAAGCCCGGAGCUCAACUCCGGAACUGCCAUUGAAACUGUGAGACUUGAGGAUGAGAGAGGUGAGUGGAAUUCCCAGUGUAGAGGUGAAAUUCGUAGAUAUUAGCAGGAACACCGGUGGCGAAGGCGGCUAUCUGGACGAUUACUGACACUCUGGCACGAAAGCGUGGGGAUCAAACAGG
rnacentral:rRNA from 1 species